GGGGCCGAUAUGGCAUUCGACCGGAUUGGGAAGGUUUUGUGUGGCGAGUCGAGGAGCGUGCUAGCCUCGUAAAAAGUACGCAACUUUAUAUCUGCCGAACCGCAGUACGCACUCGCAGCCUAAUAGUGGCUACGGAUCCACCACUCGACGCCCGAUGAGGUGGUGGAUCACGAUCAUCGGGCUGGUCAAUGCGUGGCGUCUCUUGGCGCAUUGGCAAGGAGGUUUCAAGAGACUGGACCAAACCACAGGGUGUCGUUGCCCGGUGUAAGGUCGAGAUCAAACCAACGACUACACUCGUAGAAGCACUCUACUGACAAUCCCGGGACGGGGGUUCGAUUCCCCCCGGCUCCAUUU
rnacentral:tmRNA from 1 species